rnacentral:sRNA from 1 species
UGAUGUGAAAGUAGAGGCCCUAGUCGGGAGCUAAUUUAAGACGGGCUCGUACGAAUAUAUUGCGCUUUGCCCCUCUCCUCCCUCGCAUUUUCAGUGCCUGAUGUACUCAUGCCAAACCCCUUUAAAUUUUGCUCGUUAUUGAUAUCGCAAUGAAUCUCUCCAAAGCAUUCCCACUUUUUAUUCCUCAUAACUAAUAGUGCGUUUUGCAUCCAUGACAAUGACUUUUCUCCAUGCUCCCAGCCAGACUGGCCUCGCCUAAGAGAAUGCAAUCUUGGGCGAUGACUAAUUGGUACCUUUGUCUAACAAGCCAGAGAUAGGGGUAUCUGUCAUAAAGCCUUCAAGAAUGGGCAUCUUUUCUUUCUGGACUGCAAGAAGUUGCAGGCUGUUAUCUAAUCUGUUGUUGAUAAUCAUCAGAUGAUUUGAGAGUCAUACAGUUUGCUCCAUCAAGGGGUGGAUUUCCAUUUGUGUAUAGAGUGAGAUAUCAAUUGUUCAUAUAAAUGAUGACAU